CCCAACGCCCAGGUGCCCCGGCUCGCGCUCUGGCCCGGGCGAAUCGGGCUAUAGGAAGGGCCACACGGAUGGAAGUCCUAGUCCGGAUGCUCGCCUCUUGUUGAACGUGCAAAGCCUGUCCCAGGACUUCUUUACACUCUGGGGGUCUCUGCCCAGGCACGCUUGCUGCUUCCGGGACACAGCUGUGGGCGGAGCUAGUAGGGGCGGGGCUACGUGAUUGACACUUCUCUCCUCAGACUUCAAGGGCUACCACUGGACCCUUCCCCUGUCUUGAACCCUGAGCCGGCACCAUGGUGAGAACCCUGAGCCCAGCCUUUCACCUCCGCAGGCCCGCGCCCUCACCCCCAGUGGCCGUGCCAUGGUUGCCCCGUAUGAACCUAGGGCUCCACAGUGUGGGGUUUUUGCAGGUCAGCUCCUGCAAGGCAACCUGCACUCUUCCAACCCAUUCAUCCUUGUAGCACGGACGCCUGAAGGUGAAGACGUCAGAAGAGCAGGCGGAGGCCAAAAGGCUAGAGCGAGAGCAGAAGCUGAAGCUAUACCAGUCAGCCACCCAGGCCGUAUUCCAGAAGCGCCAGGCUGGUGAGCUGGAUGAGUCAGUGCUGGAACUGACAAGCCAGAUUCUGGGAGCCAACCCUGAUUUUGCCACCCUCUGGAACUGCCGACGAGAGGUGCUCCAGCA
rnacentral:sRNA from 1 species